ACCUUCAUCGUCGCACCCCGCCCGGCCUCAAAUUCCGCCCCAGCCAGUCGCCCUUUGGGUGCUGAAUGGAGCUAUGUGAGUAAUCGCGGACCAAUGUGGCUUGACGGUCCUCAUUCCGGGUGCUG
rnacentral:sRNA from 1 species